GUUUAAAUGGUGUAAUACAACAUAUAACAUUUUCAUUGUUAAGAUCUUUUUUUGUUUAAAUU
rnacentral:tRNA from 1 species